rnacentral:tRNA from 1 species
GGGGAUUUAGCUCAGUGGUUGGGGCACCUGUCUUGCAAGCAUGAGUUCAAUCCCCA